rnacentral:rRNA from 1 species
UACGUAUGGAGCAAGCGUUAUCCGGAUUUACUGGGUGUAAAGGGUGUGUAGGUGGCAGUGCAAGUCAGAUGUGAAAGGCCGGGGCUCAACCCCGGAGCUGCAUUUGAAACUGCUCGGCUAGAGUACAGGAGAGGCAGGCGGAAUUCCUAGUGUAGCGGUGAAAUGCGUAGAUAUUAGGAGGAACACCAGUGGCGAAGGCGGCCUGCUGGACUGUUACUGACACUGAGGCACGAAAGCGUGGGGAGCAAACAGG